rnacentral:rRNA from 1 species
UAACUCCGUGCCAGCAGCCGCGGUAAAACGGAGGAUCCGAGCGUUAUCCGGGAUUUAUUGGGUUUAAAGGGUGCGUAGGCGGCCUUUUAAGUCAGCGGUGAGAAGUCUGUGGCUCAACCAUAGAAUUGCCGUUGAAACUGGGGGGCUUGAGUAUGUUUGAGGCAGGCGGAAUGCGUGGUGUAGCGGUGAAAUGCUUAGAUAUCACCAGAACCCCGAUUGCGAAGGCAGCCUGCCAAGCCAUGACUGACGCUGAUGCACGAAAGCGUGGGGAUCAAACAGGAUUAGAUACCCUGGUAGUCCACGCAGUAAACGAUGAUCACUAGCUGUUUGCGAUACACUGUAAGCGGCACAGCGAAAGCGUUAAGUGAUCCACCUGGGGAGUACGCCGGCAACGGUGAAACUCAAAGGAAUUGACGGGGGCCCGCACAAGCGGAGGAACAUGUGGUUUAAUUCGAUGAUACGCGAGGAACCUUACCCGGGUUUGAACGCAUUCGGACCGAGGUGGAAACACCUUUUCUAGCAAUAGCCGUUUGCGAGGUGCUGCAUGGUUGUCGUCAGCUCGUGCCGUGAGGUGUCGGCUUAAGUGCCAUAACGAGCGCAACCCUUGCCACUAGUUACUAACAGGUUAGGCUGAGGACUCUGGUGGGACUGCCAGCGUAAGCUGCGAGGAAGGCGGGGAUGACGUCAAAUCAGCACGGCCCUUACAUCCGGGGCGACACACGUGUUACAAUGGCGUGGACAAAGGGAAGCCACCUGGCGACAGGGAGCGAAUCCCCAAACCACGUCUCAGUUCGGAUCGGAGUCUGCAACCCGACUCCGUGAAGCUGGAUUCGCUAGUAAUCGMGCAUCAGCCAUGGCGCGGUGAAUACGUUCCCGGKCCUUGUACACACCGCCCGUCAAGCCAUGGGAGCCGGGGGUACCUGAAGUCCGUAACCGCGAGGAUCGGCCUAGGGUAAAACUGGUGACUG